rnacentral:rRNA from 1 species
GACGAACGCUGGCGGCGUGCUUAACACAUGCAAGUCGAACGGUAAGGCUCCAGCUUGCUGGGGUACACGAGUGGCGAACGGGUGAGUAACACGUGGGUGACCUGCCCUGCACUUCGGGAUAAGCCUGGGAAACUGGGUCUAAUACCGGAUAGGACUGCACCGUGAGGGUGUGGUGGAAAGUUUUUUCGGUGUGGGAUGGGCCCGCGGCCUAUCAGCUUGUUGGUGGGGUAAUGGCCUACCAAGGCGGCGACGGGUAGCCGGCCUGAGAGGGUGGACGGCCACAUUGGGACUGAGACACGGCCCAGACUCCUACGGGAGGCAGCAGUGGGGAAUAUUGCACAAUGGGCGGAAGCCUGAUGCAGCGACGCCGCGUGGGGGAUGACGGCCUUCGGGUUGUAAACUCCUUUCACCAUCGACGAAGGGUUUCUGACGGUAGAUGGAGAAGAAGCACCGGCUAACUACGUGCCAGCAGCCGCGGUAAUACGUAGGGUGCGAGCGUUGUCCGGAAUUACUGGGCGUAAAGAGCUCGUAGGUGGUUUGUCGCGUCGUCUGUGAAAUUCCGGGGCUUAACUCCGGGCGUGCAGGCGAUACGGGCAUAACUUGAGUACUGUAGGGGAGACUGGAAUUCCUGGUGUAGCGGUGAAAUGCGCAGAUAUCAGGAGGAACACCGGUGGCGAAGGCGGGUCUCUGGGCAGUAACUGACGCUGAGGAGCGAAAGCAUGGGGAGCGAACAGGAUUAGAUACCCUGGUAGUCCAUGCCGUAAACGGUGGGCGCUAGGUGUGGGUUUCCUUCCACGGGAUCCGUGCCGUAGCUAACGCAUUAAGCGCCCCGCCUGGGGAGUACGGCCGCAAGGCUAAAACUCAAAGGAAUUGACGGGGGCCCGCACAAGCGGCGGAGCAUGUGGAUUAAUUCGAUGCAACGCGAAGAACCUUACCUGGGCUUGACAUAUACAGGAUCGCGCCAGAGAUGGUGUUUCCCUUGUGGCUUGUAUACAGGUGGUGCAUGGUUGUCGUCAGCUCGUGUCGUGAGAUGUUGGGUUAAGUCCCGCAACGAGCGCAACCCUUGUCUUAUGUUGCCAGCACGUUGUGGUGGGGACUCGUAAGAAACUGCCGGGGUUAACUCGGAGGAAGGUGGGGAUGACGUCAAAUCAUCAUGCCCCUUAUGUCCAGGGCUUCACACAUGCCACAAUGGUCGGUACAGUGGGUUGCCAGUCCGUGAGGGCGAGCUAAUCCCGCAAAGCCGGUCUCAGUUCGGAUCGGGGUCUGCAACUCGACCCCGUGAAGUCGGAGUCGCUAGUAAUCGCAGAUCAGCAACGCUGCGGUGAAUACGUUCCCGGGCCU